CUACCCGAAUGCAAAGCACUCCCGAGAUCUGUAAAAGGACUGGCCCCGGACAGGAAGCACACUUUAAACUAGAGGAGGGGUAAGACUCGCUGGCCAAUCAAGGCUUCUGGGCGGAACUGCCAUUCAUACUUUGAGGCGGGGUCUAACGGUUGCCUGCUUGAAGUUUGUUUUUGCUCUGCAGGAUUAAACAGUUCUCUGUAUCCUGCUUUGAGCGCUGCUGUUGGGUGCUGUGAGGGGACCUCAAGUAAGCUCCAUUUUUGAAACAUGGAUGCAGUGACUUAUGAUGAUGUGCGUGUGAACUUCACUGAGGAAGAGUGGGAUUUGCUGGAUCCUUCCCAGAAAAGUCUUUAUGAAGAGGUGAUGCUGGAGACCUACCAGAACAUCACUGCUAUAG
rnacentral:lncRNA from 1 species